AUCUUAGCCACAUGGCCUUCAUUUUAGACAUUCAAAUAGUCUAAUGUGGUCAGUGGCUACCAUAUUGGAUGAUACAUAUAGGGGAUAUACCCAUGCUUGUGUAAAGAAAGUUCUAUUAGGCAGAACCUUUCCAUUUUUCGUGAGCUGAUAGCUAUAAUAGAAUAUAGCGUGCUUGCCCCUCAGUUAACAGAGACCUUCCAUUUGCUUCUCAUUGGCCACUUUGUCUCACUCCUGUCAUAAAAUACCAAGUAAAAGCAACUUGAAAAAGGGCUGUUGGAAGGGACAGCAGCCAUAAUAGUGGGGAAGGUGUGGCAGCUGGAGCAUGAGAGACUGGCCACACAGUAGGUCUGCAUCAAGGGAGCAGACUCAUGAGUGCUGACCACAGUAGGUCUGCAUCGAGGGAGCAGACACAUGAGUGCUGACCACAGUAGGUCUACAGUAAGAGAACAGACUCAUGAGUGCUGGUCACAGUAGGUCUGCAUCGAGGGAGCAGAUUCAUGAGUGCUUGUGUUUCUCUCGUGUUUUUCUUUCUUCUGGGACCUCGAGAACAGUGUCACCUACAUUCAGAGUGUCUUGUCCCUUUUCGGUUAACCCUUUCUGGAAAUACCCUAACAGAGGCACACCUAGAAAUACAUCUUGCAACUGACCCUAAUUCCAGCUGACUCCCAUUGGAUUGACUUGAUCAACCAUCAGGACUUCUUAAGACUAAACCAUAGGAUGGGACAUUAGCCGUUGUCUUCCAAGGUCCUGCUUUUUUAACAUGAGGAGGCUUAAGCCAGAAGUGAUGAGUUUGCCUGCUCCAGCCCCUGCAUCUCUCCACUGGAUCCCCACUGCUGUUCUCAGGAGCUCAGAGUGAGUGGCAGAGGCGUCUGUCCCUCUUACUGGACUCUUGCUGCCAUCUGUUCAGGAAAAAAUGUUGCCUGAGACACAAUUCUCACUCAGGCUGCCCGCUUUGCCAGUGGACUGUCUUCCUCACUCCUGGUCACACGUGGACGCCAAGCUCUUACUAUGUCACCAUGGAGACAGCCUGGAAGGCGAAUGUACCCACACCACACUCUUGCCUGGGCACCUUCGUGCAGUCACUUGUGCCCUUCUUGGCUGGCUGCUUAGACAACUGAAAUUUUCAGUGACUCGGAACUGCAAUAGAUUCCCCAGGCCCAUCUCCAUCCCCUGAGAUUGGCCUUGCUCCUCUCCACAUAUAAGUUCAAAUCAUGAACCAGGGAACCAUGAUGCAAAAUGCCAGGAAGUUGGGGUGGGCUUGUUGUCUUAUCCUAUGAGUCCGAACCACAUCCAAUGUGGAUAUAAAAGGCUUUUGUACUGAGAUCUUGGCACAUAGUAGGGCCUGGUGGGUUUCAUUCUUUUCUUUCUAAAUAGACCACUUCCAUCCCAAUCCUCAUCAACUGCUGUCCGUGCCUGGACGGCCAACCCAACACUUGCAAUUCCGUUCAGUUGCUAAAAAAAUCUCAAAUUAGUGUUUCUUAAAACUUCUUAUUCUUAAACGUAACCCUCACUGAGAGCCCGCAAUCAAAUGAGCAGUGAGCAGUGACCAUGAGCAAUAAAGAGAUGAGAACCAGACAUGGUAACUCUUGGGAGGCAGGCAGAUCUAUGUGAAUCAGGAUCAACUGGUCUAUGUAGCUGAGUUCCAGAGCUACAUAGACAGACUAUGUCUCAAAAAUGAACAAGUAGAAAAUAAUAAAAUGACAUAAAAGUCUAUCAUGAAGACACUGAGUAUCUUGUUGGUGUAAAACCACAUCAGGAGAUGACAGCACACUACAUGUUAAUUAGUAGAUAAGCCGGAAACAUUACUGUUUGGUUACUCUAGCCUUCCAAUGUCUAACUGGACUGGCUGACUACCUGGAGGGCCCAUUCUUCAUGGAAAAAUGGAUGUUGGGGCCUGAAGGAGAUUAACUGAUUAUUUGGGGAUGAAGUAUACGUACAGGCAGUGCUUUAGGGAGCUAUUUUAUUCCAUUGGGGCAGGGGGCUUCAGAAGAAGAAAAUAAGAAGAGUGAAACUCCCUUAGGUGAGGCUCUUCAGAAGGAGCCAAUGAAGGUGAAAGGCUCUGAAGCUUAAGUGACACUUCAUUUCUGUGAGUUCUUUGGUGAUGCUGUGUAUGUGUGGUGCUUUGAAGGGAAAGCUACACACAGACAGCUUUCAGAUACCCAAGGCUAUUGCAUUAGAUGGCCUCAUUACCUCAUCUUCUAUGGGGUGCGUUAAAUCGGACCUCGUGGGAAACAGGCCUCAGAGGGUGCUGAGAGCCUCGUCCUUGCGGGAAGGAUUGCCACUUCUGCACAGAUGGUGCUUGCAGUUUUAUUUCACGUCACAAGGGAGUAUCAGCUUCUGGUUUUCCUCCUUUGAGUUAAGAAUAUAUGUUUUAGUUUUAUAUUUUUGUGCAUGCACAUGUGUAUGCAUCUGUGUGUGUGUGUGUGUGUGUGUGUGUGUGUGUGCGCGCGCGCGCGUGCGUGUGUGUGCAUGCGCACGCGCACAUGCCCAAAGUUAAGAGCUGCCUGAUACAGGUGCUGGGGACAAAACCCUGGUCCUCUGACAGAAGCUAAUCACUGGGCCUCUCCAUCCCCUCCACACCCCUCUCCAUGGCCCCCCAGACCCCAGACCCAUUUUCUCGACCCAUUGCUCCUAGCCUUCCCUCUCUCCACACCCACCAACUCCAACAAGUGGAUUUUUUGAAACCCCUUGGCUGUGGUGAUGAGUUCUUAUACAGCCGAGCUCAUAGACAACAUGAAACUUAGGAAAUCGGAGUUUGCUUUUGUUGUUGUUGUUGUUGUUGUUGUUGUUGUUCAGAGAAGCAUUUGCUCUUGUUUAACUUCUGGAGCCCAGGCUUCUUAUUACUGCUCCUACUGCAAUAGCAGUAACAGCCUUGGGUUUAGGAAGAGCCUUCUCUACCCUGGCCUGUUUUUCAGAAGCAUAGAUAACUUCCAACAUAUCCUAAUUGAGCU
rnacentral:lncRNA from 1 species